rnacentral:lncRNA from 1 species
GGCACUAGGUUUUGAAAUCCCCCUACGGACUUAAUUGCUCGAGUAACAAAGGCCACAAAACGAGACUAGUCAAUCUACUUUUGCCCAUUUAUCUAAAGAUUUUAUCUAUAAAGAACAAUGGGUAUUGAAGUAGUUAUUCCUUUUCUUUUUCUAUCUCUUUUUUUAUUUCUUUUUUUUUUCUUUUUUUUUUUUUUUUUUUUAUUCGCAAAGGUUCGAUUCGACAUUGUUUCAACAUGUGGGUUCUCUCUCAGGUAUCGAAUAAUAU